CAUCACAUAUUUCUGGGUUUUUCUUCUUUAUUUUGUUCAUUCAAUGUCUCCAUCACAUUUCACAAUCCAAAACCCUAAUUACCAUGGUUCACCGCCAUUUAUUGCAUCUUGGGUUUUAUGGUUUUCAGAUAUUUCUCAUGGUCCAACUGAAAUUAGCUGCCUUUUCAUUCAUCAAUAGGUCAGCAAGUCACACGAGUCCAAUUUUUGAAUUGUGGAAGCAAAUCACAAUUGCAUUUCUAACAUACUCUCUGCUCAGUCUUUUAUGAUUUUUAUUGGAGAUGCUCUCUAAUUCAGCUCCCUUGGCUUCUUCUGAGUCUGUUUGUUUCUCCUCUUGCUUACCUCUGCAGCCUGACAGGUUCUGCCUUCCAUGCUUCUAGUCCCCCAUUAAAAAUCAGUUUCAAGUGAUCCAUUUCUCGAGGAGUACUCUAGAAAGUCCUUAAUUUUGGUGGGGUGUUGAUAGGGAGCUAUAUAUUCUUGGAGCAGUUUGGUAGAUUUCUUCUUCUGGUGAUAUUCUGGAAAUUGGGGUUCAAACAAGGCUAGAUGACUGUGGAUGAAACUGACUGUAGCUCUGUGUGGACUAGAGAGCAGGAUAGGGCCUUUGAAAAGGCCCUUGCCACACAGCCUGAGGAUUCUUCAGAUUGGUGGGAGAAAAUUGCAGCUGAUGUACCUGGGAAAACUUUAGAAGAAAUCAAAGAGCAUUAUGAGCUAUUAGUGGAGGACAUUAACCAGAUUGAGGCUGGGUGUGUUCCCCUGCCUAACUAUACUUCUUCGUCAGAAGGUUCAACGAGCCAUGCCAGGGAUGAUGGAACUGGUAAGAAGGGAGGCCAUUAUGGGCAUUAUAACAGUGAAUCCAAUCAUGGAAGUAAGGGCUCAAGGUCAGAUCAGGAACGCCGGAAGGGGAUUGCUUGGACAGAGGAUGAACACAGGUUGUUUCUUCUUGGUUUAGAUAAAUAUGGGAAGGGUGAUUGGCGAAGCAUUUCUCGAAACUUUGUAGUGACCAGAACACCUACGCAAGUGGCAAGCCAUGCGCAAAAGUACUUCAUUCGUAUGAACUCGAUGAACAAAGAUAGAAGGCGAUCGAGCAUCCAUGACAUUACCAGUGUUGGCAAUGGAGAUAUUUCAGCACCUCAAGGACCCAUCACUGGUCAAUCAAAUGGUACUGCUCCUGGAGCUUCGUCUGGAAAGUCAACCAAACAACCUCCUCAACACCCAACUAGACCCCCAGGCGUUGGCAUGUACGGUCCUCCGAGCAUAGGGCAACCUAUAGGAGGGCCCCUCGUUUCAGCAGUAGGCACUCCUGUGAAUCUUCCUGCCCCUGCACACAUGGCAUAUGGUAUCAGAGCUCCAAUGCCAGGAACUGUACCUGGAGCAAUGGUUCCCGGUGCACCAAUGAACAUGGUGCCUAUGACGUAUCCAAUGCCGCACACAACCGCUCAUCGGUAAUGCACUUUUAGCCAUGAAAUGUGCUAACAGACAGCAGACCUUCAGCUUGUGCUCAUAUUGGAUAGGUCAAACAGACCUAUAUAGCCAACAAUGCGGCCCGAAAAGUGACGUUCAAGAAAAGAAGAAAAGCUUCUUACACUCUUUGUGGUGCCCAAGUUGCUGAAGAGAGUUGUUGGCGAAGCGUUGAAGGAUUAAUGGUGCUAAUGUGAAUUAGGAAGAGAUCAAUUAACUGGCUCUGUAGCCUUCUUAUCUUGUAAAUAAAUGUAUUUUCCAAUGUAUUUAAUAAAAUUGACUCAAAUGCCCAAA